UCAAAUUUGAAAUCUGGCUCCUUUGGAGUCCGAGUUGUAUUUGUAGAGGGUGCUUUGGUGUUGGCUAUGGCCUAAGUUCCUUGGAACAGGACGUCACAGAGGGUGAGAACCCCGUAUGUGGCUGCUGGUCUUCACCGUGUAAAGCCCCUUCGACGAGUCGAGUUGUUUGGGAAUGCAGCUCUAAAUGGGAGGUAAAUUUCUUCUAAAGCUAAAUAUUGGCCAGAGACCGAUAGCGCACAAGUAGAGUGAUCGAAAGAUGAAAAGCACUUUGGAAAGAGAGUCAAAAAGCACGUGAAAUUGUUGAAAGGGAAGCGCUUGCAGCCAGACUUGCCCGUAGUCGCUCAUCCGAGCUUUUGCUCGGUGCACUCUUCUGCGGGCAGGCCAGCAUCAGUCCGGGCGGUCGGAUAAAGGCUCUGGGAAUGUAGCUCUCUUCGGGGAGUGUUAUAGCCCAGAGUGUCAUGCGACCAGGCUGGACUGAGGUCCGCGCAUCUGCUAGGAUGCUGGCGUAAUGGCUGUAAGCGGCCCGUCUUGAAACACGGACCAAGGAGUCUAACAUCUAUGCGAGUGUUUGGGUGUCAAGCCCGGGCGCGCAAUGAAAGUGAACGGAGGUGGGAACCCUUCGGGGCGCACCAUCG
rnacentral:rRNA from 1 species